CCAGUGUUGUCUGGAUUGAAUGUGCAGCAUGUCAUAGUUUCAGGGAGGAUCUUACAUACACCCCCUUUCUCAGCCAAAAUCAUAUCUAGGGCCAUUCUGUUCUGAAAUGUCAUUUGGGUGGUGGCUUGUAACUGUUCUGCCAGGCCCUGUAGGGCAUCCCUAGUAUAGUUGACAAAACGCUGUUGGUUAUAGUAAAUAUCCAAUUGACAUUCUUAUUAGCAGUUAUCUGAAUUAAGGACUCAAAUCCUGCUGCCACUUCAUCCCUUGCUUUGAAUUCGCCAGGCACCCCCCUUGGCACACCAAUGGCAUCAAUAUAUACAUGGGGGUCGAAGCUCCCUCGGAUGGGGGCCUCACGUCUAGUUCUAGAAUGCACGUGUGUGUGGUCUAGUGUGUUGUGGCUACCAUCUGGAAUAAUGUGGAUGGGCAUUAUAACUUUGGUCAGGGCACACUCCCCCCACCAUUGCCCAGCUAGUUGGGACCUCAAUUGUCUGUCACCACAUAACCAAUAGAUAUCUCCGAUUGUCUUUACAUGAUUCAUCAGUAGUGAUACAGGCGGGCUAUGGUAGGUUGAGCAAUAUCCAGAUGGGAAUUUGCCCAGAUACACACCAGCAU